GGAGCAACAACUUGCCAUUUACUGUUUUUUUGUUUUACAUCUUUUAUCCUAUCUUUGAUUUGUGCCACACCUGUAUAUUCAUUAUAUGCAUAUUUAUGAUACUGGAAACACCAUACAGGGAAAAUUUACUUUUUUAUUUAUAUUUGUUCAUGAUUGCUCUUGAAUUUUCAAUUUGUUUAUGCUUUGCAUUCAUUUGUUGAUUGUGCAUUUGAAGUUAUUUCUUAAUGGAAACACUUGUAUAUAUAUGUAUUUCUACAUUGUAUGUAUAUAUGUACAUUUAUAUACUACUUUAUUGAAGUAGGCUUUUAGUUUAUAUAUCAUCUAUCUUCAACAAUCAACAUAAAAUGACAUGAUUAUUGCUUCUAAAGCACGAGUUGGAUAAUUGAUAUCAAUAAAAGUACAAAUUUUUUAUUGUUAAACUGUUCAACAGUUGAAUGUAAUUUAACAUUUGUAUGGCAUUAUAAUAAACGCAAUUAUAAGAACACAG
rnacentral:misc_RNA from 1 species